rnacentral:rRNA from 1 species
AACGUAGGAGACAACCGUUAUCCGGAGUUACUGGGCGUAAAGGGCGUGUAGGCGGUUCGUUAAGUCUGGCGUGAAAGCUCUCGGCUAAACCGGGAGAGGUCGUUGGAUACUGGCGGACUAGAGGACGGUAGAGGCGUGUGGAAUUCCGGGUGUAGGGGUGAAAUGCGUAGAGAUCCGGAGGAACACCAGUGGCGAAGGCGACACGCUGGGCCGUACCUGACGCUAAAGCGCGACAGCAUGGGGAGCAAACGGG